AGGACCUGGAAUUGAACUCAGGACCUUUGGAAGAGCAGGCAAUGCUCUUAACCACUGAGCCAUCUCUCCAGCCCCAAGAGAAAAACUUUUUAAAGUGGGUUUAUAUUUGUUUGUUUGUUUCAUGAGACUGGGUUUCUCUGUGUAGCUUUGGAGCUUGUCCUAGAACUCGCUCUGUAGACCAGGCUGGCCUUGAAGUCACAGAGUUCCGCUUGCCUCUGCCUCCCGAGUGCUGAGAUUAAUGGUGUGCACCACCACCACCUGGCGAGUUUAUAUUUUCUUAAGAUUCUGACUAUUACUUCUAACACAACAGUAGUCAGAGUAAUUAAUAACAUUGUACACUACUUUUAAAAAGUCUUAAUUAAGAUAAUGUAAAAUUAUGUUCUCUUAAGUCCAGAGAAGAAAUAUCUCCUUUUUGGUCUGUAGUUUACUCCUUAUUGUUAACACAAAAUGCUUAGGAUACACUAGAAUUCUCUGUCUUGGAAAACAGUGUUUUCAAUAUAGCUUAUUAGAUUUGUUGCAGCCCUGGAGAGAGACUUCUGAUAUACAAUACUAUCAACAUUAAAUGCAUCUAAUGACAACAGUUAUCAGAAAGAUAAAAGAAAUUCUAAGAUACUCUCUGCUAUGAGAUAAGGUUGGUAAAUUAUAGGCCACACAGUCUGUUUUGGUAUAUAAAGUUUUAUUGGAACACCUACACAUUCUUUCAUCUGUUGCUAUGCUGUACCAAAGAGUUGAACAGUUGCCACAGAGCCUAUAUGACCCACAAAGCAAGCUUUUUUACUGUAUGGUCUUAAGUGGUUACUAACUCUUGCCAUGGAAGGGUUCCUAAAGAUGUUUCUAAAGAGCUCUUCCUUGAAAUAUACAGAUUAUUAUUUCGUAGCCUAAUAGUUCCCAGAUUGUUUUUUAGAAUGUUAAUAUUCUAUGAGUCUUUUGAGAAAAAAAUUUAUAUUAUCAAUAAUUUUCUUUGUAAUUUUACUAUAAGUUGAUUUGAACGUAAGUUUGACUACUAAACUCAUUUCUGUAGUUUUUAUUUUUAUGUGAUAAUCUGCCCUUAAGAAAGGUGUGCCGUACCUGAGAGCACCAGGAAGUCGCAUGAGAUCACCUGAUAAAAGAAUAAAAGAACAAGUGAUGUUCCAUCUUCAAAAUGAAGCAUUUACAAAUUAACCAGUGUGUUGCUAUGUAUCUUCUCUCUUCUUUGUUUCUCGUCUUAUCAUUUCAAACCAUAUGUGAUACUCGGUGUUAAAUCUAAAUAAGCCCUGUUUUGCACCACAAACUCAUUACCCCUGGAUCUUUUGCUGAAACAAGGAAGUAUUAAACAAGGAACAGAAUCAUUUUGUUCCCAAAUUGUAUCUGAAUCAGACAGUCAACAGGUUGGGAUAGUACAAAGUGAAGAUGAACCUUUGAAGUCUUCAGUUUCUAUAAAACCAGAAGGUGAGCUUUCCAGGGUCGAAUUUAUGUCCAAUUCCAAUAAAAUAGCAACAUUGAGUAAGAAAAUAGAAAGGAGAAACUAUGAUGAAAGUUAUUUCUCCUUUGGAUUUACUUACUUUGGAAAUCAAGAUAUACCCCAUGCUCAGUGUGUAUUCUGUAAGAUUUUAUCCAAUGCUCUUUAGCCCCAGUAAGCUUCAAAGACAUUUAGAAACUAAACAAGCUGUAUAUAAAGGUAAAGACAUCAGCUUUUUCAAUAGCAUCUUGAUUCAUCUAAACAUAAUAAACCUCCAGCACCUAAUCUCUCAAUACAGAUAAUGAAGUUAAUCUGUCAAUGCAAGGAAGAUGUAACAGUGUUUACAGUGUUUGAUAAAAUGUCAUCAUUGUAGAAAAAAUAAAGAAUAAAAGAAAAUAGAAAAAAUUUUUAAAAAGAGGAAAAAAAUGUCAUCAUUGUUAAGAAAAUUGGAGUUUGGGGCCUCAUCUGUAGAAGGAAACUUUGAUUGUGUGGUCUAUGGGGAUUUCAAAAGUUACUGGGCUGAUCUUUUAGAGGGUCUUACACAGCUCUCUACCUUUAUUAGCUGACAAAAAAACCUUUACUAAAGUUCAGUAAAAAGAAGAGAAGGAGGAUAGUGAAGGAGAACCAACAAAAAAAAAAAAAAAAAGGAAAGAUUUCUUACUUCACUAGUUGGUAUGGUGACAUGUGUCACCGUAUUUGGGUUUUUGGCUGUGGCUCAGGUACUCUGUGACCAAGAAUUCAGUAUGGCCAUUCUGUGGAAGUCACUGAGAUGUGCCCUAACAUUUUGAUACACUCUGAACUACAGAGGGAAGGGGGAAGAAAUAAUGAAUACUUAGGUAUUUUCUCAGUUCUUCUUAGAUUAUUUCAAAUUCCAUUGCACUUUAGCAAUUAUGAGACUUGGAUGACUAACUUAAUUUAGUAAUGCUAUUAAUUUAUUCUUGGAAUACUAUAAAAAUGUCCUGUUGAUUUACUGUCUUUGAACUGCUUUUCCUAUAACAUUGAUAACCAGUUCUGGUAAAUAUUUCAUGCUGCUCCGGUAAAGAGCUACCACAAAUAGUCAUUAUCUAAUCUCACUCACUGAAACUUUUAUUCUCCUAUUUUGGCAAAUUAUGGUAAAAUGGCUUGGGCUCAAAUGUCCAUUCUACUACUUACCUAGAUGUUUGACUACAGCAUUCUGAACUUUGCUAAACUCCUGUUAAUUCUUUUGUUUUUAUUUUAUUGGGGUGUUUCUCUGUGUAACCUUGGCUGUCCUGGAAUUCAGUGUGUAAACCAGGCUUGCCUCGCAUUCACAGAGAUCUUCCUGCCUCUGUCUCCCGAAUGCUGGGAUUAAAGGUGUGUACCACUACCAGCCAGCUCAGUUAAUUCAUUUUUUAAAUUAGCUUUUCAGGGUGAUUUUUAAAGUUAAGAGAGAAUGUGUUUAAAGACUGUGACCCAGAUAAGUGUGUGACAUAUGUUCUCUACUGUAUCAAGUGUUCCCAAUCAAUUUGACUUAACAUUUCACUGAGUCUCAAUAGUUUUCUAAGCCAGAAAACAUUUUUUUUAAAUGUUAAGCAGUUCUUUUAUUUUUUUUUAAAGAUUUAUUUAUUAUGUUUACAACAUUCUGCCUCCAUGUAUGCCUGCACACCAGAGGAGGGCGCCAGAUCUCAUUAUAGAUGGUUGUGAGCCACCAUGUGGUUGCUGGGAAUUGAACUCAGGACCUCUGGAAGAGCAGCCAGUGCUCUUAACCUCUGAGCCAUCUCUCCAGCCCACCAGAAAACAUUUUGAUAAGAGGCAAAAUGAAACACUUCUGUCAAGGUUCUCGCUCUCCUCCUGCCUUUGUCAGCUUUGAAAGAAACGUCUAUUUGUCAGUCACCUUAGUACAUGUGUUGUUUAUGAUUAAUGUUUCUGACAAUACUGCGAGACUUGGGCUUGAGCAAGGUCACACUGACUAACAAAAUUUAGUCUUUCUCAAAGAUGGUACUUUUCUCUGUCAUUGCCUUUCAGACUUUUCAAAGAGUGAACAGUGACUUUAUAAGUUCAGCCCAUCCCCUCCUAAAAUCUGAAUAUUUCUUUGAAAUCUGUUUUUUUCUAAACUCAUCCAAAAUGGACCAUUUACUUUAAACUAUAACUUUAUUUUCCUGUAAAAAAAAAUACCAGUUGCUGUAAUACAAAGUUAAAUAUUCAAAAAUACAUCAUAGUUUCCCAUCGGUGCUGUACAUUCUAUGUACAAGCCUGGUAUUAAACACACCCCAGUUUGAGAAGCAUGUGCAGAGCUGAGCCUGUGUCUGUCUUGAACUGAAUCUGGUAAUUAGAAGACUCCAUGUGUGAUUGCUGGGCUUGAUUAAAUCUCUCUCCAGGAUGUCUCGUUCUUCAAAUACAUUCUUUUCCUGUCUUUUUCUGGACCACGUUGUUGGGCAGUCUGGUUUCUUCUAUUUAAAUUCGAUUUCUUUAACUGGGACCCUGUUGUCUGCUAUUGGACGUCUAAGACUGACCUUACCCAACUUGACACCAAGUAUUCUGAAACCUGUCUGGCCCCUUGUAUUAUGACUUGCAUAACUAGAGAGAGUGGGCUGCUAGCUAUAAAGAUGGUCUGUUGCUGGCUGGAUGAUUACUAACUCCACACCAUACCUUCUUCUGACUUGUUCUAUUCUCUUAGUUAUACCUGAAUCCCCAAAGAGAAGAUUCUUUUCCUCUGUGUUUAAAUACUUCUUGCCCUUAACAAGCGGGCAGCACUGCCAGUCCCCGUGACGGUUCACAAGCCCUUUGGUUAUUGUGCAGACAGCAUCCUUGAACACAGAAGCCUCUCCAGCCAGAGGGAAGCCACUCUCUGAUCACUCUUCCACAAAGAAAAGAAGUCUUAAAAGAAGAAAUAAACAUCAUUUGACUUAAUAGAACAACUACUUGGGGUCUAAAGGGUACUGUCAAGGACUACCUACCCAGCCUACCUGUGCUACUAUAAAUGAGUACUGUUAAUUAGCUCAGUGGAAAGAAUUCUAGAGUUAGCCUCUUACGGUUUUAUUGCUGUGAAGAGACACCAUGACCACUGCAACUCUUAUGAAGGAAAACAUUUAAUUGGUGGCUUCCAGUUCAGACGUUUAGUCCAGUAUUGCGAUUGCACGGAAGUACGGCAGCACUUGGGCAGCUGGAAAGGCAGCUGAGAGUUCUCCCUCUGGAUUGGCAGUCAGCAGGAAGAACAAGCUUGACCUUCUGAACCCUCGAACCUCCCCCCACCCACACAUACAGUGACGUACUUCCUCCAACAAAGCUACAUCUCCAGUCAUACCACUCCUUAGGGGCCUGUGGAAACCAUUUUCAUUCAACCCACUACAGUUAAUAAAGAUGAUGAAAUUUAUAAACAGCACCUUAGUAAGUCAUGAUUUGUAGAGGACAUUCCAGG